CACUCCUGAGUGUGCCACCGGGACGCGCGCGCAGCUGUCUCGGCUAUUUUGUGGUGAGAAGGAAACAUUUAUUACAGUACCGUUUCUCAUGGAACAAGAACAUGUAGUUUCAUGGUGCACGGCUGCCAGAUGUUUCCCAGGUUUCAAUGUCCCAGGUAGAUAAAGGAAAAUUCGGCAAGGUCAGAAGAGAGAAGAACAGAUUUAUCAUGAAAUAGGAAUGGUAACUGUGUCCCAAGUGUACAGAAGGGGAAGAAUUGAAGUCUUUCUGGAAGAAAAUAGAUACGAUCCAACAUGAAUCAAGAAAUAGAAUUAUUAGCAUAUUCUUUCAAUACCAAGAAGUAAAUUCCAGAUGCAAUGAAGACUUUCUUUCCAGAGACAGAAUCUUGAGGUAACGCUAUCAACAUAGCAGGG